CCAACGGCUCUUUUAAGAGCCACCCACCUUUUCCAAAAGGAGCUG
rfam:Pelodiscus sinensis unplaced genomic scaffold scaffold49, whole genome shotgun sequence.